rnacentral:rRNA from 1 species
GACGAACGCUGGCGGCGUGCCUAAUACAUGCAAGUAGAACGCUGAAGGAGGAGCUUGCUCUUCUGGAUGAGUUGCGAACGGGUGAGUAACGCGUAGGUAACCUGCCUGGUAGCGGGGGAUAACUAUUGGAAACGAUAGCUAAUACCGCAUAACAGUAGAUGUUGCAUGACAUUUGCUUAAAAGGUGCAAUUGCAUCACUACCAGAUGGACCUGCGUUGUAUUAGCUAGUUGGUGGGGUAACGGCUCACCAAGGCGACGAUACAUAGCCGACCUGAGAGGGUGAUCGGUCACACUGGGACUGAGACACGGCCCAGACUCCUACGGGAGGCAGCAGUAGGGAAUCUUCGGCAAUGGACGGAAGUCUGACCGAGCAACGCCGCGUGAGUGAAGAAGGUUUUCGGAUCGUAAAGCUCUGUUGUAAGAGAAGAACGAGUGUGAGAGUGGAAAGUUCACACUGUGACGGUAUCUUACCAGAAAGGGACGGCUAACUACGUG